UUGAGCAUGUGAGUCGGGUAGAGGGGCAGAAGGAGAGACAGAGAAAAUCUUAAUCAGUCUCCAUGCCUGCAUGGACUCCAACAUGGGGCUCGAUCCCUCAACCCUGGGAUCAUGACCUGAACUGGAAUCAGAAGUCAGACACUCAAUUGACGGAGCCACCCUGGGACCCCUGCAAAUGAAAAUGACUUUAUGGGACUUCUGAAGCUAGGUUACUUUCUCUGUAAAUGCAUAACAUUAUAAGUUCCAGAGGAAGCAAUGUGGCAUUCAAGAUUCUACAAGGAGAAUCAAGGAGAGUUGCCUGUAAUAAAUUUGGACAUUUUUCGUUCUUUAAAAAUAUGACACAGGCACAGCCAGUUUCUUAUGCCCAGCAUAGGGGAGACCUUGUUUGGGAGCACGGCUGAACUGGACCAGGGAUUAGCACCCGCAGCAGAGAAAGGCAGCACUCUCCUGGCUAGUGAUCUGUGUGGAGGGCUAUUCUGAAAGGAUCUUUGUGAUAAUCCAGGAGACUGUCCCUAUUUUAAGGUCAGCUGAUGAGCAAAUCACUUCCAUCGGCAACUUUGCACCGUUAA